rnacentral:rRNA from 1 species
ACCCGUUGAUCCUGCGGGAGAUGCUGCUAUCCGAAUUCCACUUAGGCAUGCAAGUCAGGUGCUUCUUCGGAAGAAACUGGCGGAAUGCUCAGUAACACGUUGAUAAUCUAACCUAUGACCUGGACAAGCCUUGGGAAACUGAGGGAUAUGCCGGAUAGGUAAUUGAGGCUGGAAUGCACUUUUACUCAACAUAGGAUGAGUCAGCGGCCGAUUAGCUUGUUGGUGAGGUAAUGGCUCACCAAGGCGACGAUCGGUAGGAGCCUUGAGAGAGGUAGCUCCGAGAAGGGCACUGAGAAAAGGGCCCUAGCCCUACGGGGUGCAGCAGCUAGGAAACCUUUACACUGCGCGCAAGCGCGAUAAGGGGAUUCGGAGUGCUUACGUUUUUGCGUAAGCUUUUGCCAAGAGUAAAUACCUUGGCGAAUAAGUGGUGGGAAAGACUGGUGCCAGCCGCCGCGGUAAUACCAGCGCCACGAGUGGUAUUCGUGUUUAUUGGGCCUAAAGCGUUCGUAGCAGGCUUGACUAGUUCUUUGUGAAAUCGUGCAACUCAAUUGUACGGCGUGCAAAGAAUACUACCAAGCUUGAGACUGGGAGACGUAUAGAGUAUUUCGGGGCCAGCGGUAAAAUGUGUUGAUCCCCGAAGGACUGCCGAUGGCGAAGGCACUAUACGAGAACAGGUCUGACUGUGAGGAACGAAAGCCAGGGGAGCAAAAUGGAUUAGAUACCCAAGUAGUCCUGGCCGUAAACACUGUGCGCUAGGCGUUGGGGAAACUACAUGUUUUUCCAGUGUCGUAGAGAAGUCGUUAAGCGCACCGCCUGGGAAGUACGGUCGCAAGGCUGAAACUUAAAGGAAUUGGCGGGGGAGCACUACAAGGGGUGCUUCGUGCGGUUUAAUUUAAUUUUACACAGAGAAUCUCACUAGAACCAACGGCAGUGUGACGAUCUGGCUGAAGACCAUAUCUGACGAGCCGAGUGGUGUUGCAUGGCCGCCGUCAGCUCGUGCCGCAAGGUGUCCUCUUAAGUGAGGUAACGAGCGAGACCUGCGUCCACAAUUGCUAACGAUAUCUCCGGGUAGAUCGAGCACUUUGUGGGGACUGCCUUAGAAAUAAGGAGGAAGGUGCAGGCAACGGUAGGUCUGUAUGGCCCUAAUGUUCUAGGCUACACGCGCGAUGCAAUGAUAGAGACAAUGGGAUACAACUCCGAAAGGAGAAGUUAAACCUCGAAACUCUAUCUUAGUUUAGAUUGAGGCUUGUAACUCAGCCUCAUGACACCGGAAUCCCUAGUAAUUGGAUAUUAUCAGUAUCCAGUGAAUACGUCCCUGCUCCUUGCACACACCGCCCGUCAAACCAGUCGAGCAGGUUCUGGAUGAGGUUUGCUUUUUUGAGCCAAUCGAAUCUAGGAUCAGUGAGAUGGGUUAAGUCGUC